UACGUAGGGGGCAAGCGUUGUCCGGAAUCAUUGGGCGUAAAGAGCGUGUAGGCGGCCAGAAAAGUCCGCUGUGAAAACUCGAGGCUCAACUUCGAGCUGUCGGUGGAAACUUUCUGGCUAGAGUCCGGAAGAGGAGGAAUGGAAUUCCUGGUGUAGCGGUGAAAUGCGCAGAUAUCAGGAAGAACACCCGUGGCGAAGGCGGUUCUCUGGGACGGUACUGACGCUGAGACGCGAAAGCGUGGGGAGCGAACAGG
rnacentral:rRNA from 1 species